rnacentral:rRNA from 1 species
CCUACGGGAGGCAGCAGUGAGGAAUAUUGGUCAAUGGACGAGAGUCUGAACCAGCCAAGUAGCGUGAAGGAUGACUGCCCUAUGAGUUGUAAACUUCUUUUAUAAAGGAAUAAAACGAGGCACGUGUGCCUUUUUGCAUGUACUUUAUGAAUAAGGAUCGGCUAACUCCGUGCCAGCAGCCGCGGUAAUACGGAGGAUCCGAGCGUUAUCCGGAUUUAUUGGGUUUAAAGGGAGCGUAGAUGGGUUGUUAAGUCAGUUGUGAAAGUUUGCGGCUCAACCGUAAAAUUGCAAUUGAUACUGGCAGUCUUGAGUACAGAUGAGGUAGGCGGAAUGCGUGGUGUAGCGGUGAAAUGCUUAGAUAUCACGAAGAACCCCGAUUGCGAAGGCAGCUUACUAAACUGUGACUGACAUUGAUGCUCGAAAGUGUGGGGAUCAAACAGGAUUAGAUACCCUUGUAGUC